GACAGAGGUCCCGAGCGUUGUUCGGAUUCAUUGGGCGUAAAGGGUGUGUAGGAGGUCGGGUAAGUCAGGUGUGAAAUCUCAGAGCUUAACUCUGAAACUGCGCUUGAUACUGCCCGGCUAGAGGAUCGGAGGGGGUAUCGGAAUUUAUGGUGUAGCAGUGAAAUGCGUAGAUAUCAUAAGGAACACCGGUGGCGAAGGCGGUGAGCUGGGCAGUAGCUGACACUGAGGCGCGACAGCGUGGGGAGCAAACAGG
rnacentral:rRNA from 1 species